rnacentral:tRNA from 1 species
GACACAGUGGCCGAGUGGUUAAGGCGUCAGACUUGAAGCGCCUCUUGAAAUGGGAUUCCGGUCCACAAGUAAAGAGGACGAGAUAUCUGAUUCCCUAGGGAUCGCAGGUUCGAAUCCUGUCUGUGUCG